GCAUCGAUAGCUCAGUGGCAGAGCGGUGGAGCGUUUACCCAUGCGCUAUGCUGCCCGGGUUCGAUCCCCGGUCGAUGCA